rnacentral:rRNA from 1 species
GUUCCUACCGGCAAAGGUAGCGUAUCACUUGUUUUUAAAUAAAGACCAGUAUGAAAGGCAUCACGAGGACAAAACUGUCUCCUUUUUCCAAUCAGUGAACCUAAUCUCCCCGUGAAGAAGCGGGGAUUUUUCUAUAAGACGAGAAGACCCUAUGGAGCUUAAAACAUCAUAACAUUUGCCACCCACUUCCAAUUACCCCGGUAUUUUCCCCAAAAUAGCAUUUUGAUUUUAUGUUUUCGGUUGGGGUGACCGCGGAGAAAAAUUUAUCCUCCACGAUGAAAGGGAGCCUCCCCUAAACAAUAAGCCACAUCUUUAUGUAUCAACAAAUUGACAUCCAUUGACCCAAUAAACUGAUUAACGAACCAAGUUACCCUAGGGAUAACAGCGCAAUCCACUUUGAGAGCCCCUAUCGACAAGUGGGCUUACGACCUCGAUGUUGGAUCGGGAUAUCCUAGUGGUGCAGCCGCUACUAAAGGUUCGUUUGUUCAACGAUUAAAACCCCACGUGAUCUGAGUUCAGACCGGAGUAAUCCAGGUCAGUUUCUAUCUAUAAUAGAGCUUUUUUCAGUACGAAAGGACCAAAAUAGCAUGGCCUAUGUCACCCACAAGCCAUAGCUAACUAUUUUAGAUACUCACUCAAAAAAUAAUUAGCCUUCCCCCCCCGUCUCAAGAAAAGAGCAGUUAAUGUAGCAAACCCAGG